rnacentral:rRNA from 1 species
AUUGAACGCUGGCGGCAGGCCUAACACAUGCAAGUCGAACGGUAACAGGAAGCAGCUUGCUGCUUCGCUGACGAGUGGCGGACGGGUGAGUCAUGUCUGGGAAGCUGCCUGAUGGAGGGGGAUAACUACUGGAAACGGUAGCUAAUACCGCAUAAUGUCGCAAGACCAAAGAGGGGGACCUUCGGGCCUCUUGCCAUCGGAUGUGCCCAGAUGGGAUUAGCUUGUUGGUGGGGUAACGGCUCACCAAGGCGACGAUCCCUAGCUGGUCUGAGAGGAUGACCAGCCACACUGGAACUGAGACACGGUCCAGGCUCCUACGGGAGGCAGCAGUGGGGAAUAUUGCACAAUGGGCGCAAGCCUGAUGCAGCCAUGCCGCGUGUAUGAAGAAGGCCUUCGGGUUGUAAAGUACUUUCAGCGGGGAGGAAGGGAGUAAAGUUAAUACCUUUGCUCAUUGACGUUACCCGCAGAAGAAGCACCGGCUAACUCCGUG